UACGUAGGGUGGGAGCGUUAAUCGGAAUUACUGGGCGUAAAGCGUGCGCAGGCGGCUUUGCAAGACAGAUGUGAAAUCCCCGGGCUCAACCUGGGAACUGCAUUUGUGACUGCAGGGCUAGAGUACGGCAGAGGGGGAUGGAAUUCCGCGUGUAGCAGUGAAAUGCGUAGAUAUGCGGAGGAACACCAAUGGCGAAGGCAAUCCCCUGGGCCUGUACUGACGCUCAUGCACGAAAGCGUGGGGAGCAAACAGG
rnacentral:rRNA from 1 species